rnacentral:lncRNA from 1 species
GUGGGAGGUGACUCUCUCAGGAGGUUGAAUAGGGUUAGAAAGACGGCAUGACUAUAUCUCUAAUGUAGACCUAAAGUGCUUCCUAGAGCUAGGGACCAGGAUUCUAAAUGAGACCUGAGGGAAUGGAGCUGUUGUUGACAAGAGCUGUUAGACAAACAGGACAUGGAGGAGGAUGCCCCGGGAAGCUUUUAGCUAGUGACUGAUAGAUGCAAGAAUAUGAAUGCCCAGCUCUUUUGCCUCCAGUAGAAAACUCUGAGGCUUGACUUACACACCAGAGCUGCCCUGCCAGGUCAGGCUGAGGCCACUCUUCGUGGGACUUUCCCUGAGAUCACAGCCUUCCUGUGUUGACUUCCUCCUCUUCCCUCUCCUGCUUCACACACACCCCUACUGGUCCCCCUGGAAGCAUAUUUUAAAAUAAAUUACUUGUAUAUGAAUCAUGAGUCCUGGUCUUGAGUUCUACUUCUGAGGAAGCUGAUCUAAAUUUUCCCACUCUCAUUUGCAUUUCAUAUAAACCUUGUGAAGUGUUAUUAUCCCCCUUUUGCAGAUGAAGAAACUGAGGCUCAAAAGGUAAUAAUGUAUCUGUAGCUUGUGACUUAAAUCCAGCUAUGUCUGACUCCAAUGCACUGAAUUCCCCGAAAAACAAUCAGCAUUUACA